rnacentral:rRNA from 1 species
CCGAUGAGGUGGAAACGGACAGAGCUGGCGUAUCUGGCCUGCAUUCAGCCGCUGCGCGUCGGGCCCCGGUUUGCCGCACUCCAGAUUGGGAAGGUGGCUGGGCUGCUGGCGUGCUUGUGGUGCAUUUGCAGGUGGAGUGCGCUGAGGCGCUCGGCUCAGCGGCAUGAGCUCGGCCUUGAGGCCAACCGUGCAAGCGGUCUGGUACCCGGGUCGGGGGAGUGUUGUUUGGGCUGAGUGUUCGCUUGGGCACUGGUUUCGGGCCCGGGUGGGUGCCGAGCUGGCGGUCGACGUCGGUCGCAUGCGACACGUGUCAGCAAUCAGUUCGGUCCUGCUCGAGCUCCCGCGUGUCCGGCCUCGGUGUAAAAGCCGGUCAUCUGUCCGACCCGUCUUGAAACACGGACCAAGGAGUUUAGCGUGUGCGCGAGUCAUUGGGCGUUGAAAACCCAAAGGCGCAAUGAAAGUGAAGGUCUGCCUUGUGCAGCUGAUGUGUGAUCCUGGGUGCUGCGGUGCCCGGGCGCAACAUAGUCCCGUCCCGACUGCAUGCAGUGGGGCGGAGACAGAGCGUACGCGCUGAG